GAUGAACGCUAGCGGCAGGCCUAACACAUGCAAGUCGAGGGAGAAGCCCUUCGGGGCAGAAACCGGCGCACGGGUGCGUAACGCGUAUGCAACCUACCUUUCACAGGGGGAUAGCCCGAAGAAAUUUGGAUUAAUACCCCAUAAUAUUAUUGGAUGGCAUCAUUUGAUAAUUAAAAUUACGAUGGUGAAAGAUGGGCAUGCGUCCUAUUAGCUAGUUGGAGUGGUAACGGCACCCCAAGGCUACGAUAGGUAGGGGUCCUGAGAGGGAGAUCCCCCACACUGGUACUGAGACAGGGACCAGACUCCUACGGGAGGCAGCAGUGAGGAAUAUUGGUCAAUGGUCGGAAGACUGAACCAGCCAUGCCGCGUGCAGGAAGAAUGCCUUAUGGGUUGUAAACUGCUUUUAUAUGGGAAGAAUAAGGCGUACGUGUACGUUGAUGACGGUACCAUAUGAAUAAAGCAUCGGCA
rnacentral:rRNA from 1 species